CUGGGGACCUUCUGGAACACUGGCGAUACUACACAUUUUGCAAACAUUUGCCUUUUGAACUUGUGGAUUGACGGGAUUGACGACAAGAGAGGAAGAGGAAGCGAGGAGGUCCGAGGGCCCUGAAGCCAGGCGAGCUGAGAGCCGGAGUGCACAGGAUGGGCCCCCAGAGCGGAAGGGCCCACGGCUGUUCCCGUCCGCAGUGGGGUGGAGGCUCUGUUCCUUUGGGAAUGAAGUCUGAAGCCUUCGCAGAUGGUGUUUAUUGAUUAUUAACAGACAUGAGCUGUGGUAUCAAAAUGCUAAGUAUUCAGAGACUGCUGCAGAACGAAAUACUGUCCUUACAUGUCAGACCCUUGAGAGUGACAGGUCCGACUUCAGGCUGUGGAUGGAGGCUGCUCUUACAUACAGUGUGAAUUCAUUGGUUGGAUUUUCACCUUCAUCGUACAAGAGCCACAGAAAAACACCUUGAUAAUCUAGCUCAGCAACAAAUGCUCCCAGAAUUUUCUUCUCCAGCUACGACUUCUCUGGAGAUCUCUGGAUUCUGCUCUCAGAAGCACAAUAUGCAGCUGGUCUUCUACCUUUGAACUGGUUAUGACUGUAUUCACAGUUGUUUUCUCAUAGGAUGCUCACAUAGGCAGAGCAGGAGCUAAAUUGGGCUCCAGUAGGGUUUCCUCAUCCUGAGCCCAUUUUUUGUGCACACUGCAUUCAUAAAUAGCUUGUGAGGCUUCGGGCUUCUGAGGUCACCGUGCUUCACACAAUUGU